rnacentral:rRNA from 1 species
UGCCUCACAGCUGGGGAUAACAUCGAGAAAUCGAUGCUAAUACCGAAUGUGCUGAACAUCAUAAGAUGUUCAAGUGAAAGACGGUUUCGGCUGUCACUGUGAGAUGGACCCGCGCUGGAUUAGCUAGUUGGUAAGGUAAUGGCUUACCAAGGCGACGAUCCAUAGCCGACCUGAGAGGGUGAUCGGCCACAUUGGGACUGAGACACGGCCCAAACUCCUACGGGAGGCAGCAGUAGGGAAUCUUCGGCAAUGGACGAAAGUCUGACCGAGCAACGCCGCGUGAGCGAAGAAGGCCUUCGGGUCGUAAAGCUCUGUUGUUAGAGAAGAACAUGGGUGAGAGUAACUGUUCA